rnacentral:rRNA from 1 species
GACGAACGCUGGCGGCGUGCUUAACACAUGCAAGUCGAACGGAAAGGCCCCUUUGGGGGUACUCGAGUGGCGAACGGGUGAGUAACACGUUAGUAACCUGCCCUUGACUUCGGGAUAACUUCAGGAAACUGGGGCUAAUACCGGAUAGGAAUCCUUGCUGCAUGGUGGGGGUUGGAAAGCUUCGGCGGUUUUGGAUGGACUCGCGGCUUAUCAGCUUGUUGGUGGGGUAGUGGCUUACCAAGGCUUUGACGGGUAGCCGGCCUGAGAGGGCGACCGGCCACAUUGGGACUGAGAUACGGCCCAGACUCCUACGGGAGGCAGCAGUGGGGAAUAUUGCACAAUGGGCGGAAGCCUGAUGCAGCAACGCCGCGUGCGGGAUGACGGCCUUCGGGUGGUAAACCGCUUUCAGCAGGGGCGAAGCUUUUGUGACGGUACCUGCAGAAGAAGCACCGGCUAACUACGU